GUGGGGGCAGGGCCGGCAGCCGUUGCUCGAGCACCGUCAAGCGUUGCACCAGCCCGGCGAGGAGCACCUGGUCCUCCGCUCGUUGGAGUGCGAAGGCCUCCAAUUGCUUCGUGAUGAUCUUCAUCUGCUCCGCAACCUCGAUCUUGAUUUCUUUGUCCGCCAUCGUGGAUGGAUCUGAUACCAAAUUGGAAGAAUCUACUACUGACAUAACCCUAAUUACAGAAAGUAGAUAAAAGUAAACGACAAUAUUUUUCUCUGCUUUAUUGAUAGGGGUCGGCCCCUUUAUAUAAUAGACAAGACCGGGCUAACAAGCCGGAAAUCUAUUCAAACUCUAAUACAAUCUCUAAACUGACUGGACUCUUUCCUGACAAAGAUGCUUAAUCAAAUCAACUAGGACUAAGGGAUAAGACUCCACGUUUGAUGGGCUGGUCCACAUAACAGUAAACAAGUUCCUGUAAUUUUUAGCAUAUUUUUCUCAGAACUUUGUUUCUUCAAAUAGGAAUGUACAUGCUCGUGCUUGACCUUCAGAACUACUUUAUAAACCAGAUUUCCUCGGCCAUCGCCUCAGUUCUCCAACUACCGGAUUACGCUUCACUACACAGCAAACAGAGAGCGAAGGUCACCUCAGUACAUAAGCGUAAUCCGGUUAUAACAUUGAAUUUUCUGAAGAAUGAAGAGAAUCUACAAACUUUGAACACUGCACUUGACACAGUAGCACGGAUUUUCUGUAUCACCGAUCGCAAAUCUAAUCAACAUGAUAGUUUGGGGAAUAUGCAAGUUGUCCAACUGACGCUGGGCAUCCCAAUAAGAAACACACCUAUAGUUAUUUUCAGUCACAUGAGCAUAUUUAUUUUGUGGCAUAUCUUGAUUCUUUGGAGUUCCUUUGCAAGAUACUAGUCCAAUAUGCAUAUGCAGUUUGAAAGAACUUCUCUGAUGGAAAAACAUUCCCCAAUUUGGGAAACAUGAGUUGUGUCUUAAUGGCACUAGAUCAAUUCAUUGAUUCUAGCUUUGUUGCUUAUAGGUAAAGCCUAUAAAAUCAUAAGUAUUGUCGCUGCAACGAGUGAUUUCUGAUUUUGCAAGAUGUUCUUUUUUGUGUGCUGUAACAGUUGUACCAAAAGGUCUGAACAAGAGAAUGAGAGACUGCAUAAACAACGUGGAACCUUACUGAUAGCCCUAGUUUCAGCGAUCAAAAUUUCCUUUGUGAUCAACGAGGCUAUCCAGGUACUUAAGUUGCUUGUCCUAUACUUAUAUUGAAUCUUAUUAGUUUGAACAGAAGACCAUUUAGUCAUUUACAGCUGGGUGCUAUGACAUGCAUUACAUAAUCCCUUGAUUCAGCCUGUUGUUGUAUCACUUAUGAGUAUCAUCAUUUUGUUGCAUGUAUAAAUCAUUAUGAAUAUUUUUUUUGUGUAUAUCCCUAUACCAAUGCCAUUUGUGGAGAAUUGAUGUUUAAAUAACCAAUUUACUAUUUUCUAAUACCAUUGUUAUUACGAAUGCAUUUCGCUUUCAUAAUCCAGAAGAGUUUGUCUUCUAUCAAUUGUGCCAUUUCAAGUGCACGGAUAAAGCUUGAUGAUCUCAAAUUUUUAGCCUCUUCUAUUAGUAAUAUUGGCGUGACACUUUAUAAUAUUGGACAUCUUGAAAAGGCACCAAAGGCAGCAGAACUAUGCUGUCAGACAACAUGGGCACACGCCAGACUUCCUUACUAUAGACUAUCAACAAGAACAGAAGGUCACAUCAUUACUGAGGAUCUACCAAAGGAUACACUGAAGGGUAUUAUAGAUGCAUUUGCAAGGAUAGCAAAUAUGAUUGACAUUCUCCAUAGAUGUGGCUCAAAAGCGGCGCAAGAUAUUAUUGUCAAGAGCCUGUCUCAAUUGUUGGUUUUUGGUGACACAUCUGAUUAUCACAAAAGCUAUUUGGUUCUGACCGAGUUAUGGGUGAAGAUAACACUUCAAGAUUUUGAAGAUGACCAACGUGUGGAUAGUGCUCCUCUUCUCUACCACUCUCUUAUGGCCUGCUCGUCUCCCUUGCCAAUGAAGUUAAUAGGCUUAAUCGUAG